GACGAACCGUGCGAACGUUAUUCGGAAUCACUGGGCUUAAAGCGCGUGUAGGCGGGACGGCACGUCGGUCGCUGAAAGCCCCCGGCUCAACCGGGGAACGGGCGCCGAUACGACCGCCCUGGAGGGACGUAGGGGGACCUGGAACUUCCGGUGGAGCGGUGAAAUGCGUUGAGAUCGGAAGGAACGCCCGUGGCGAAAGCGAGGUCCUGGACGUUUUUCUGACGCUGAGACGCGAAAGCCAGGGGAGCGAACGGGG
rnacentral:rRNA from 1 species